rnacentral:lncRNA from 1 species
GCAGAAGGUGGAGACGUACAGCAGAGGUGAAAAAGUAAAAGAAAAAAGGUGGGGAAGAAAAGCUGUUCAUCUUCUUCGUCGUGGGUUCCUCCGCCGCGCCACCACCGCCUUGCAGCCAUCCGGCGUUUCAUCCCACUGUUGCCGCUCCUUUUCAGCCCGUGACUUAGUCGUGCCACCGCAACCCCCCCUCGCGACCGACGUUGCAAUCUGCAGCAACCUGAACCUCUGCCCUAGCGCCAGUGCUCCGCCUCCACCUGAGCGACCCCCGAGCCGGAUCUGUGCCCUGUUGCCCAGAGUUUCUGCCGACGUUGAUCCGCCCAACGCUGAUCUUGCACGAUCC